CUCAGUUCGGAUCGGAGUCUGCAACCCGACUCCGUGAAGCUGGAUUCGCUAGUAAUCGCGCAUCAGCCAUGGCGCGGUGAAUACGUUCCCGGGCCUUGUACACACCGCCCGUCAAGCCAUGGGAGCCGGGAGUGCCUGAAGGCCGUGACCGCAAGGAGCGGCCUAAGGUAAAACUGGUGACUGGGGCUAAGUCGUAACAAGGUAGC
rnacentral:rRNA from 1 species